GGCCGGUUGGCCCAAUGGCAAGGCGUCUGACUACGACUAAAAUGGUAUCAGGAGAUUCUGGGUUCGACCCCCAGGCUGGUCA
rnacentral:tRNA from 1 species